rnacentral:rRNA from 1 species
AUUGAACGCUGGCGGCAGGCUUAACACAUGCAAGUCGAGCGGAGAUGAGGUGCUUGCACCUUAUCUUAGCGGCGGACGGGUGAGUAAUGCUUAGGAAUCUGCCUAUUAGUGGGGGACAACAUUCCGAAAGGAAUGCUAAUACCGCAUACGUCCUACGGGAGGAAGCAGGGGAUCUUCGGACCUUGCGCUAAUAGAUGAGCCUAAGUCGGAUUAGCUAGUUGGUGGGGUAAGGCCUACCAAGGCGACGAUCUGUAGCGGGUCUGAGAGGAUGAUCCGCCACACUGGGACUGAGACACGGCCCAGACUCCUACGGGAGGCAGCAGUGGGGAAUAUUGGACAAUGGGGGGAACCCUGAUCCAGCCAUGCCGCGUGUGUGAAGAAGGCCUUAUGGUUGUAAAGCACUUUAAGCGAGGAGGAGGCUACUGAGACUAAUACUCUUGGAUAGUGGACAUUACUCGCAGAAUAAGCACCGGCUAACUCUGUGCCAGCAGCCGCAGUAACAC